rnacentral:rRNA from 1 species
AUGCCUCCUCCGCCUCUGAAUCAGCCUCACGGUGAUGCUCGUCGCAUUUCUCUUGAGCCUCCUCCGUCUCUAGGUUGUGAGAUCAAGAAUUUCACUUUAGUCUCCAAACCUGCUUACCUUAAGUUUCGUCGCGAUGUUGACCAAUUCUCUGUUGAGCAUGACUCGAUGGAUUCUCGUUUUCGUACAAAUUUUCAGGCAGAAAUUUUCACCACUGUCAUUGUUCCUAAGGGUCUGUCUGUUCACCACUAUGUUGAAUUAGAGCAUAUCCAUUCUCACCCUGUGAAAUAUCCGGGUGCCAUUGAACUCAUUGAGUCCUCUGGUCUUGCUGCUCCAUUUGCUUUUGAACACAAUUUCAAUCAUGCUGCCAUUCAUCAGUUUUCAAGUGUUUCUUCGAUCCUGACAAGACCGUCACCUGGAUGA